rnacentral:misc_RNA from 1 species
UCGAGACCGAAAUAAAUCGAGCGAUUCAGAAAACCUGUGAAAUAAGCGGCGACACUCGUUGCUGUGAAACAGUCAUCUCAGUCCUCGCCUCGCCUCCUUCGGAGGGGGGUCCGCGAUGAAGGAUGGCUGAAACCCCAAACCGGCGCAAUUCCGCGCCAAGGGAACUAUUGAAAAACACGAGCCCCUGCAUCGGGGCUCUGUGGUGUGGAGCGGUGUUACGCACCGCACGUAUUGACACGACUCUCGGCAAUGGAUAUCUCGGCUCUCGCAUCGAUGAAGAGCGCAGCGAAAUGCGAUACGUGGUGCGAAUUGCAGAAUCCCGCGAACCAUCGAGUCUUUGAACGCAAGUUGCGCCCGAGGCCAACCGGUUGAGGGCACGUCCGCCUGGGCGUCAAGCGUUGCGUCGCUCCGUGCCCAGUCCCAUCCCACAAGCGGGGGUGACGGCGAAGGCUCGGAUGUGCAGAGUGGCUCGUCGUGCCCAUCGGUGCGGCGGGCUGAAGAGCGGGUUAUCGUCUCGAUGGCCACGAACAACGAGGGGUGGAUGAAAGCUACGGGCAAGGCCUGCGUUGUCUCGUGCUGGCCCGAGAGAAGAUUAUACCCUCCAUGUGAUCCCAUCCAUGCGCCGGCCCACAUGCGGCGGCU